rnacentral:snRNA from 1 species
AUGCUUUGGCAGGACAGAUGNUAAAAUUGGAAUGAUACAGAGAAGCGUACCAGGGUCCCUGAGCNUCCUUGGCANGCACAUCCAUGAAAACACAANGCUUGCU